UAUGACUAUCAUGGUACCGCUGAGCUCCUGAGAACAACACACUUUUUCCCAAAUGUCUGUUAAAGCAGUCUGCAUGCCCAGGUGCAUCGCUUCCUGUUGUCAUGGAAGUGACUCGAACACCUGAAAUACUUUUGGCAAGAUAGUGUUUAGUAACAGUUUAUGAAAAGCAGAAACCUGAAGAUAAUCUAAGGAGUCGUUAACAAAAGCAGUGCUGUGGAGGGUUUUUUUUUCACAAAGUUAAGAGUGGACACAUGGAAAUAAAGUCGUUUGGUAAUUACAUUUAUAUUCAUUGAUUUUUAUAUUUUGUUACGUUUCGGUGUUGUCAGUUUUUUGUUUUUUUGCGUGACUGUCAUGUAUUUCCUGCUUUACUUUGAAAGUCUGUGUUAUCUUAGUGUGUUCAGUUUACGUUUCCUUGUCUCGUCAGGUCUAAUUUGCCCCAGCUGUGUUUCCCUCCUGUGGUCCAUUCCCUGAUUGCUCCUUCUAUGUAUUUAAGUGUUUCAGUAUGUCAUGGUUGCGAUCUUUCCCCGUGUUGUAAAUAAAUAGUUUGUUUUAAAUAGCUGUAAAUGGGUUUUGUCAAUACUUUCGUUUUGAGACACUUCCUUUUUGGGAAUUUGGUGGAGAGCCUUAGUGGGUUUUUUUGUCGUGUUUUUUUCCUUAUUUUUAUUUUCCUGCGUUUCACGCCGGUUGCCUAGGCCGGGGUGUAACAAUUUCCAUAGCUAUAUUAUAUUAUUUCUUAUUCACGGAGGUUAGGGCAUGCAGUUGUGGCAUCUCUUUCCUCCUCUGGAGUUCUGUUUCACUUUGCCCCUCUCUCUUUCGCUCAGUCUCCACUGCUGUUGUUACCACUCAAAGAAGGUAUAAAUGAACAAACAGACAAGAAAUACAACCACAGAUACUACACAGGGUGGAUUAGGGGUAGGCAGACAUACUGCAAAGGUAAGCUAUGAUGAUAUGAUCCCACGAUGUCUGCGAUGCAAAGACACUCACACGCACACCCCGACUGAAACACCUUCCCAACUGCCUUGAGGCGUUUUAAUUAUGCUCUCAGCCAUCGUAAUAUUCUGUGUGUGUGUCUGUGUGUGUAUGUGUUGGUGGACUGGUGGUGCGUAGGGGGGUUCAGAAGCACAGUUGGAUUUAAAAUAGUCCCUGUUGUCUCCUAUUGUCUCUCGUGCUUUGAUGUUUCUGGUAGUGAGUGGUUAGUAAUUAGCACACCCACUCAAUUUGGUACAUCUUCUCCUCUUUGUC
ensembl:lncRNA